AAAGUGCGACAAGUGUCAUGACUUGCAGAUACCCGAGAGCUGACAAAUUUCUGAAUGCAAAUUGCAGCCAAGUUAACCUGGCUAUGUAUUGCAGAGAGUACUUCGCUUAUGCGCGCCAUCCAGGGGUGGUUCCAUUCCCCCUUGGGCUAUGUGCAGGCUAUCAUUGCUUGCUGAGCAUUGUGCCACUCCAAAACACACAUUCGUGUGUGCUUGGAUAAAGGCCAACUCAAAUGAAAGAUAGAAAACCAAUGAGUUUUCCCGGACAAUAUAUGAGAUAAUUGUAUUUCAACCACAAUUUUUCUCACCAUUCACCUCUGCAAUGCAGGAGAACCCGCUGAACUUAA
rnacentral:misc_RNA from 1 species